rnacentral:rRNA from 1 species
AGUCACUGACAUUAGAUACCCCUGUAGUCCAGGGUGUAAACGCUGCAGACUUGGUGUUGGGAACCCUUCGGGGGUGCUCAGUGCCGGAGAGAAGUUGUUAAGUCUGCUACUUGGGGAGUACGUCCGCAAGGAUGAAACUUAAAGGAAUUGGCGGGGGAGCACCGCAACGGGAGGAGCGUGCGGUUUAAUUGGAUUCAACACCGUAAACUCACCAGGGAAGACUGUUACAUGAAGGCCGAGAUGAAGACUCUGCUAGAUUUUCAG